UGGUCCCCUCCUACUACGGGUCACUUGAAAUGUAAUGCGGAUGUAGCAUUGUUUCCUUGUGUUUCUAAGGUGCGUCUUGGGUGGAUCGUUAGGGACGCUGCUGGUUUUAUGGUUGCUGCUGGUUUAUAUGUUCUACUUCUCUUUGCGAUUAACUUUCUCUGUCAACUUAUAUCACCUGUGUUGACCCCGUGUAGCUCAAAA
rnacentral:misc_RNA from 1 species